rnacentral:lncRNA from 13 species
UGUUUUACUUUGAUGUGACUGGAUCUAUGAUAAGCAGAUCCAUACCAGACUGUCAGGGGGUCUAUGAUAAGCAGAUCAAUACCAGACUACUGUCAGGGGGUCUAUGAUAAGCAGAUCAAUACCAGACUGUCAGGGGGUCUAUGAUAAGCAGAUCAAUACCAGCAGAUUGCCAGGGGGUCUAUGAUAAGCAGAUCAAUACCAGACUACUGUCAGGGGGUCUAUGAUAAGCAGAUCAAUACCAGACUGUCAGGGGGUCUAUGAUAAGCAGAUCAAUACCAGCAGAUUGCCAGGGGG